UUCCUCGAGUCGUUGAUUUCACACUGCCGAGAAAAGCCUCUAGCUAGAAUAACGGUGCCCGUACCGCAAACCGACACAGGUAGUCAAGAUGAGAAUUCUAAGGUGAGCGAGCGAACUCUCGUUAAGGAACUCGGCAAAAUGACCCCGUAACUUCGGGAGAAGGGGUGCUCUUUGAGGUUCACGCUUCGAAGAGCCGCAGUGAAUAGGCCCAAGCGACUGUUUAUCAAAAACACAGGUCUCUGCUAAACCGUAAGGUGACGUAUAGGGGCUGACGCCUGCCCGGUGCUGGAAGGUUAAGAGGAGUGGUUAGCGCAAGCGAAGCUACGAAUCGAAGCCCCAGUAAACGGCGGCCGUAACUAUAACGGUCCUAAGGUAGCGAAAUUCCUUGUCGGGUAAGUUCCGACCCGCACGAAAGGCGUAACGAUUUGGGCACUGUCUCAACGAGAGACUCGGUGAAAUCAUAGUACCGGUGAAGAUGCCGGUUACCCGCGACAGGACGGAAAGACCCCGUGGAGCUUUACUGUAGCCUGAUAUUGAAAUUCGGUACAGUUUGUACAGGAUAGGUAGGAGCCUUAGAAGCGUGAGCGCUAGCUUACGUGGAGGCAUUGGUGG
rnacentral:rRNA from 1 species